UACGUAGGGACCGAGCGUUGUCCGGAUUCAUUGGGCGUAAAGAGCUCGUAGGCGGCCACUCAAGUCGAAUGUGAAACCUCGAGGCUUAACCUCGAGCCUGCAUUCGAUACUGGGCGGCUAGAGUCUGGUAGGGGGAUCUGGAAUUCCUGGUGUAGCGGUGGAAUGCGCAGAUAUCAGGAGGAACACCGGUGGCGAAGGCGGGAUCCUGGGCCAGUACUGAUGCUGAGGAGCGAAAGCGUGGGGAGCAAACAGG
rnacentral:rRNA from 1 species